AUACUCCAGGGAGUGAUUAUUUCCAGAACCAGAUAACUGAAGAAAAGAACAGAUGCUGAAUGUAAAUAUUCUCUCUUCAUGUCUUCAAGUGUUCUUUGGAGGGUGUUCAUCCAACUGAAACCCAUUGACCUUAUCUAAAGUUCGAGAGGCACUAUGACUACCACCUAUUAAUCAACAUUAACCAAUCACAAAGAGCAAUGCCUACUGUCAGUUUGAUAGCAAAUGUCAACAUCUGACUUGGCUGUUAAUGGGAACACUGUCUGCCUGUCUUAUGAGCCAGAAGAAGGUUGCAGAUUGGAGAU